AACGAACGUUAGCGGCGCGCUUAACACAUGCAAGUCGAACGGAAACGAUGGAGAGCUUGCUCUCCAGGCGUCGAGUGGCGGACGGGUGAGUAAUGCAUAGGAAUCUGCCCAGUAGCGGGGGACAACUUGGGGAAACUCAAGCUAAUACCGCAUACGCCCUACGGGGGAAAGCGGGGGACCUUCGGGCCUCGCACUAUUGGAUGAGCCUAUGUCUGAUUAGCUUGUUGGUGGGGUAAUGGCCUACCAAGGCGACGAUCAGUAGCUGGUCUGAGAGGACGAUCAGCCACACUGGGACUGAGACACGGCCCAGACUCCUACGGGAGGCAGCAGUGGGGAAUAUUGCACAAUGGGCGAAAGCCUGAUGCAGCAAUGCCGCGUGUGUGAAGAAGGCCUGCGGGUUGUAAAGCACUUUCAGUUGGGAAGAAAAGCCUUGGGUGAAUAGCCUGGGGUGUUGACGUUAUCGACAGAAGAAGCACCGGCUAACUCCGUGCCAGCAGCCGCGGUAAUACGGAGGGUGCGAGCGUUAAUCGGAAUCACUGGGCGUAAAGCGCGCGUAGGCGGCGGGAUAAGUCAGAUGUGAAAGCCCUGGGCUCAACCUGGGAAUUGCAUUUGAUACUG
rnacentral:rRNA from 1 species